rnacentral:rRNA from 1 species
AUGAACGCUGGCGGCGUGCCUAAUCCAUGCAAGUCGAGCGAACGGACGAGAAGCUUGCUUCUCUGAUGUUAGCGGCGGACGGGGGAGUAACACGUGGAUAACCUACCUAUAAGACUGGGAGAACUUCGGGAAACCGUAGCUAAUACCGGAUAAUAUUUUGAACCGCAUGGCUCAAAAGUGAAAGACGGUCUUGCUGUCACUGAUAGAUGGAUCCGCGCUGCAUUAGCUAGUUGGUAAGGUAACGGCUUACCAAGGCAACGAUGCAUAGCCGACCUGAGAGGAGGAUCGGCCACACUGGAACUGAGACACGGUCCAGACUCCUACGGGAGGCAGCAGUAGGGAAUCUUCCGCAAUGGGCGAAAGCCUGACGGAGCAACGCCGCGUGCGUGAUGAAGGUCUUCGGAUCGUAAAACUCUGUUAUUAGGGAAGAACAUAUGUGUAAGUAACUGUGCACAUCUUGACGGUACCUAAUCAGAAAGCCACGGCUAACUACGUG